rnacentral:lncRNA from 1 species
GUCUUGGACUUUCCUAUCGCCAACAUGCCUCUGUAUUCGGAUAUCUCAGGCACGGAGACUGGGAAAUGCACAGACUGCGCCAAACUGAAACAGACAUUGGCUUUAAUUGAAACGAGACUAGCAGCAGUAGAAAAAUGCAAAGGACUAUCACAGGAUACAGUGCCGAUGGGUGAGUUUGCUGAGCUCACUCAGAUACAGCAAGAUGAUCAAAGCUACACUGUAUCCUUCCCGAAGCUGGACAUGAGAGAGACAGUUCCAGCUGCGUCUCACUGGAACAGAGUCGGCGCUAAGCCAAAGCAACAUACCAAAGUAAAUCAACAAGUUCACUCAACACCAAAUGCUAAGCUACCCAAAGCUAAAGUUAUCAGCCGGAUUAGCCCGUCACUCAAAUCAACCCUGCCACUGAAGAACCGGUUCCUGCCACUUCAAGAGUCCACGAACGCGCCUGCCACCGAUGCACCCCUGAGCCCCGAGAUGCGUCCGGACGGACAGUGCGGACAGAGACGGAACAACCAGUCGCCACGGAGGCGGGCUGCGCAUGUGUCUGCCACCGUCCAACAAGGGCCCAUCUCAGAGAAAGCAGAUGAACCAGACACUCUGAUUAUAGGAGACUCAACUAUCAAGGAUAUAACCGAUAGCAGACAGCCCACAGACCUUGAAGAGAGACAACAGCCCGCCCGACGCCAUCAACACUGUGCCCUCCCCCAUCGCUGAUGCUGGCUUGGCGAGGAACGGCCACCCCCCUCCUCUGCAUUCCCCCAUCGAUGAUGACCUCCAGCCUCAUCUCUCCCAUAGCCACAACAACAACUCCAGCUCCGAUGUCUCCCUUUGCGAUUUUCCAGCCGAAUUUAAGAAACUGGAACAUGCUGGCAUCAAACUUGCAUCUGUGUCAAUGAUAGCAUCGCCACGUCAUGGCCGCAGGCUGCUAACACUGCUAACACCCAGGAGGACGGCGCCCCACCCCCGCCCCGAUAGUAGUCCUGAGUAUUACUGAGACAAAAAAGGGUUCAGCCGUAGACACAGUAUAAAGGAAGUUUCUCAUAAUCUGCUGAACCCAAGGUUGCCUACGUCAAAGCAGGGCAACUUUCGCAUUCAUGCUGUAACCACUAAGAGAGUAAACAAAGGGAAACUUAGACACACUGCUAACCUCACAAAUCUCAUAUCUAUUGCCUCCAAACCAAAAACAACCUUAAAGCCUAUCAACAGCA